AUUGAACGCUAGCGGCGUGCUUAACACAUGCAAGUCGAACGGCAGCGCGAGGAGCUUGCUCCUUGGCGGCGAGUGGCGAACGGGUGAGUAACACGUAGGAAACUACCUAGUAGCGGGGGAUAACCCGAGGAAACUCGGGCUAAUACCGCGUACGCUCUACGGAGGAAAGCAGGGGAUCUUCGGACCUUGCGCUAUUAGAUGUGCCUGCGUCGGAUUAGCUUGUUGGUGAGGUAAUGGCUCACCAAGGCUACGAUCCGUAGCUGGUUUGAGAGGAUGACCAGCCACACUGGGACUGAGACACGGCCCAG
rnacentral:rRNA from 1 species